ensembl:lncRNA MYO3B-AS1 MYO3B antisense RNA 1
AUUCACAGGCCUUGAACUUUUCCACAUCUCGAUUUUUACCCAUCAUCUCUGCAUAGUUCCCUAAGGCAGCCUUCAAAUGGUGAUGUUUCUUAUAAUCCAGAGUUCAGAAGUGGCUUCUCUUCAAUCUUUCUGUGGAAUUCUAAACCACGUGAUAAAGGAGCUGGUGUAAAGACAGGGUUUCACCAUGUUGGCCAGGCUGGUCUCAAACUCCUGACCUCAAGUGAUCCACCCACCUCGGCCUCCCAAAGUGCUGAGAUUAUAGGCAUGAGCCACCACACCCGGCCAUGAGGCCACAGAUCAGCCCUGGGGUUCAGAGGGAUCCUGACAGCUACUCCUCAAGAUCCUCUCUGUUGUGAUUCAUCCCCCCGGGGCCCUACAGUUUCUCCUUCCUGACUCUUACAUUUCUUUGGAUGGCAUCAUUAUUUACCUGUCUCCUCCCAUAGUUAGGUGCCAAGCACUGUGGAUUCUGCCUCUCAGUGUCCAGACACCCAUUUUCCUUCCCACUGUUCCUUCCCCAUGGAGAAGCCUGUGGCUGGCUGACAGCAGAGAGAGAUGCUCAACUUGGAGAAGGUGUUACCUGGGCCAGGUGGGGAAGGUUUGUUUGCAGAGCAAAGAAGUGAAGGAAGUAUUAACCCUUUGCAUGGCCUCCUGAGAAUCCGACAAGACGUAAAUAGCCAAGAAUAUCUGUGAAACUUCAUCACUGAGUUACAAUAUUUAUCACUGCAAGUGUGUUGUUCAUUGACACUAUAAAGCCAUGUGGAAUUAAGCAGCCUUGAAACACAAAAUGGAGAAAGGCUAAGAGCUGAGAAUUGUUGCCUUCAGGGAAAUACAAUCAAUGUCAAGCAAACAACCACCCC